rnacentral:rRNA from 1 species
ACUCAAAUGAAUAGACGGGGACUUGCACAAGCGGUGGAUGAUGUGGUUUAAUUCGAUGGUACACGAAGAACCUUACCAAGACUAGAAAUUCUAUAGAAAGGCUAAGGAAACUUAGCAACUCCGCAAGGACUGUAGAACAGGUGAUGCAUGGCCGUCGUCAGUUCGUGGUUUGAACUGUUCCCUUAAGUGGGGUAACGAACGCAACCCUUAUCGUGUGUUACAAGUGUCACGCGAGACUGCCCAGCCCAAUGUUCACGAUCAUAUUGAUCGCGAGUAUCGGGCUGGGAGGAAGGUGGGGAUGACGCCAGGUCAGCAUGUCCCUCUGACGUCUUGGGCUACACACAUCAUACAAUGGGCACGACAACGGGCAGCGAAAGCGUAAGCUGGAGCUAAUCCUUUAAACGUGCCCCCAGUUCAGAUUGAGGGCUGAAACUCGCCCUCAUGAAGUUGGAAUCGCUAGUAAUCGUGGGUCAGCUAUACCACGGUGAAUACGUUCUCAAGUCUUGUACACACCGCCCGU